ACGAACGCUGGCGGCGUGCCUAAUACAUGCAAGUUGCGCGAUGAAGAUUGGUGCUUGCACCAAUUUGAAGAGCAGCGAACGGGUGAGUAACGCGUGGGGAAUCUGCCUUUGAGCGGGGGACAACAUUUGGAAACGAAUGCUAAUACCGCAUAACAACUUUAAACAUAAGUUUUAAGUUUGAAAGAUGCAAUUGCAUCACUCAAAGAUGAUCCCGCGUUGUAUUAGCUAGUUGGUGAGGUAAAGGCUCACCAAGGCGAUGAUACAUAGCCGACCUGAGAGGGUGAUCGGCCACAGUGGGACUGAGACACGGCCCAAACUCCUACGGGAGGCAGCAGUAGGGAAUCUUCGGCAAUGGACGAAAGUCUGGCCGAGCAACGCCGCGUGAGUGAAGAAGGUUUUCGGAUCGUAAAACUCUGUUGGUAGAGAAGAACGUUGGUGAGAGUGGAAAGCUCAUCAAGUGACGGUAACUACCCAGAAAGGGACGGCUAACUACGUG
rnacentral:rRNA from 1 species